rnacentral:rRNA from 1 species
GACGAACGCUGGCGGCGUGCCUAAUACAUGCAAGUUGAGCGAUGAAGAUUGGUGCUUGCACCAAUUUGAAGAGCAGCGAACGGGUGAGUAACGCGUGGGGAAUCUGCCUUUGAGCGGGGGACAACAUUUGGAAACGAAUGCUAAUACCGCAUAAUAACUUUAAACAUAAGUUUUAAGUUUGAAAGAUGCAAUUGCAUCACUCAAAGAUGAUCCCGCGUUGUAUUAGCUAGUUGGUGAGGUAAAGGCUCACCAAGGCGAUGAUACAUAGCCGACCUGAGAGGGUGAUCGGCCACAUUGGGACUGAGACACGGCCCAAACUCCUACGGGAGGCAGCAGUAGGGAAUCUUCGGCAAUGGACGAAAGUCUGACCGAGCAACGCCGCGUGAGUGAAGAAGGUUUUCGGAUCGUAAAACUCUGUUGGUAGAGAAGAACAUUGGUGAGAGUGGAAAGCUCAUCAAGUGACGGUAACUACCCAGAAAGGGACGGCUAACUACGUG